UUACGGCCAUACCAUGCUGAAUAUACCGAUUCUCGUUAGAUCACCGAUGUCAAGCAUCAUUGGGCGCGGUCAGUACUUGGGUGGGUGACCACCUGAGAACACCGCGUGCCGUU
rnacentral:rRNA from 1 species